rnacentral:rRNA from 1 species
GGCCGCGGGAAUUCGAUUCAGGCCUAACACAUGCAAGUCGAACGGCAGCACGGGUGCUUGCACCUGGUGGCGAGUGGCGAACGGGUGAGUAAUACAUCGGAACGUACCUUAUCGUGGGGGAUAACGCAGCGAAAGCUGUGCUAAUACCGCAUACGCCCUGAGGGGGAAAGCGGGGGAUCGCAAGACCUCGCGCGAUUAGAGCGGCCGAUGCCUGAUUAGCUAGUUGGUGGGGUAAAAGCCCACCAAGGCGACGAUCAGUAGCUGGUCUGAGAGGACGAUCAGCCACACUGGGACUGAGACACGGCCCAGACUCCUACGGGAGGCAGCAGUGGGGAAUUUUGGACAAUGGGGGCAACCCUGAUCCAGCAAGGCCGCGUGAGUGAAGAAGGCCUUCGGGUGUAAAUUAUAGGGUCAGGGAAGAAACACCGGCUCUAACACAGUCC